rnacentral:rRNA from 1 species
AUUGAACGCUGGCGGCAUGCUUUACACAUGCAAGUCGAACGGCAGCGCGGGCUUCGGCCUGGCGGCGAGUGGCGAACGGGUGAGUAAUACAUCGGAACGUGCCCAGUAGUGGGGGAUAGCUCGGCGAAAGCCGGAUUAAUACCGCAUACGACCUGAGGGUGAAAGCGGGGGAUCUUCGGACCUCGCGCUAUUGGAGCGGCCGAUGGCAGAUUAGCUAGUUGGUGGGGUAAAGGCCUACCAAGGCGACGAUCUGUAGCUGGUCUGAGAGGACGACCAGCCACCCUGGAACUGGGACACGGCCCAGACUCCUACGGGAGGCAGCAGUGGGGAAUUUUGGACAAUGGGCGAAAGCCUGAUCCAGCAAUGCCGCGUGUGUGAUGAAGGCCUUCGGGUUGUAAAGCACUUUUGGCGGGAACGAAAAGGACUGUGCCAAUACCACGGUUCGAUGACGGUACCCGCAGAAUAAGCACCGGCUAACUACGUG